rnacentral:rRNA from 1 species
UACACUCCUACGGGAGGCAGCAGUGGGGAAUUUUGGACAAUGGGCGAAAGCCUGAUCCAGCAAUGCCGCGUGAGUGAAGAAGGCCUUCGGGUUGUAAAGCUCUUUUGUCAGGGAAGAAACGGUGAGAGCUAAUAUCUUUUGCUAAUGACGGUACCUGAAGAAUAAGCACCGGCUAACUACGUGCCAGCAGCCGCGGUAAUACGUAGGGUGCAAGCGUUAAUCGGAAUUACUGGGCGUAAAGCGUGCGCAGGCGGUUUUGUAAGUCUGAUGUGAAAUCCCCGGGCUCAACCUGGGAAUUGCAUUGGAGACUGCAAGGCUAGAAUCUGGCAGAGGGGGGUAGAAUUCCACGUGUAGCAGUGAAAUGCGUAGAUAUGUGGAGGAACACCGAUGGCGAAGGCAGCCCCCUGGGUCAAGAUUGACGCUCAUGCACGAAAGCGUGGGGAGCAAACAGGAUUAGAAACCCGUGUAGUCCC